rnacentral:rRNA from 1 species
AUUGAACGCUGGCGGCAUGCCUUACACAUGCAAGUCGAACGGUAACAGGUCUUCGGAUGCUGACGAGUGGCGAACGGGUGAGUAAUACAUCGGAACGUGCCCAGACGUGGGGGAUAACGAGGCGAAAGCUUUGCUAAUACCGCAUACGAUCUAAGGAUGAAAGCCGGGGACCGCAAGGCCUUGCGCGUUUGGAGCGGCCGAUGGCAGAUUAGGUAGUUGGUGGGGUAAAAGCUUACCAAGCCGACGAUCUGUAGCUGGUCUGAGAGGACGACCAGCCACACUGGGACUGAGACACGGCCCAGACUCCUACGGGAGGCAGCAGUGGGGAAUUUUGGACAAUGGGCGAAAGCCUGAUCCAGCAAUGCCGCGUGCAGGAUGAAGGCCUUCGGGUUGUAAACUGCUUUUGUACGGAACGAAAAGGCUCUGGCUAAUACCUGGGGCACAUGACGGUACCGUAAGAAUAAGCACCGGCUAACUACGUG